GGAUUAGGCAUGCAAGUCGGACGGUAGGGCUUUAUCGUAAGAUAGAGUUUGAGAGUGGCGAACGGGUGAGUAACACGUAGGAAUCUACCCUUAAGACGGGGACAACCCAGGGAAACUUGGGCUAAUACCGGAUGAGAGUGCGAGAGAUUGCAUUUAAAAGGAUGGCGAAAGUUGUCGCUUAGGGAUGAGCCUGCGGUCUAUUAGUUAGUUGGUGAGGUAAGAGCUCACCAAGGCGAUGAUAGAUAGGCGGCCUUAACGGGUGGUCGCCCACACUGGGAUUGAGAUACGGCCCAGACUCCUACGGGAGGCAGCAGUCGAGAAUAGUCUACAAUGGCCGGAAGGCUGAUAGUGCGACGCCGCGUGAACGAGGGAGCCCUUCGGGGUGUAAAGUUCUUUUCUAUACGAGCAGUGCUAUAUAUAUGGAUAGUAUAUAUAGAGGGAUAGUAGUAUAGGAAUAAGCAACGGCUAACUCCGUGCCAGCAGCCGCGGUAACACGGGGGUUGCGAGCGUUGUCCGGAAUUACUAGGCGUAAAGGGCAGGUAGGCGGAUCUACGAGUUUUUUGUUAAAGGCUACGGCUCAACUGUAGUAGAGCAGGAGAUACUGUAGGUCUGGAAUGCGGUAGGGGAAGACAGAAUUCCUGGUGUAGCGGUGGAAUGCGCAGAGAUCAGGAGGAAUACCGAAGGCGAAGGCAGUCUUCUAGGCCGUAAUUGACGCUUAACUGCGAAGGUGUGGGGAUCAAACAGGAUUAGAUACCCUGGUAGUCCACACAGUAAACGAUAAUCACUAGAUGUCGGGUUCUAGAUGGAUUCGGUGUCGGAGCAAACGCGAUAAGUGAUUCGCCUGGGGAGUACGAUCGCAAGGUUGAAACUCAAAUGAAUUGACGG
rnacentral:rRNA from 1 species